CUAGCAUUAUUAGUAUUAGAGGCACUGCCUGCCCAGUGACAUUAGUUAAACGGCCGCGGUAUCCUGACCGUGCAAAGGUAGCAUAAUCAUUUGUUCCUUAAUUAGGGACUUGUAUGAAGGGCCACACGAGGGUUUGACUGUCUCUUACUUUUAAUCAGUGAAAUUGACCUCCCCGUGAAGAGGCGGGAAUGAAAAAAUAAGACGAGAAGACCCUAUGGAGCUUAAAUUAAAUUACCCAAUAAUGGACAUACAAUUCCGAUAGGAAUAAUAUUAUAUUAUAUGAGUAAUAGAUUUUGGUUGGGGUGACCUCGGAGAAUAACCUAACCUCCGAGCAGUUUAAACUGAGACCUACUUGUCAAAGUGAUUAUAUUUAUUGAUCCAAUCAUAUUGAUCAACGGAACAAGUUACCCUAGGGAUAACAGCGCAAUCCUAUUUAAGAGUCCAUAUCGACAAUAGGGUUUACGACCUCGAUGUUGGAUCAGGACAUCCUAAUGGUGCAGCAGCUAUUAAUGGUU
rnacentral:rRNA from 1 species